rnacentral:misc_RNA from 1 species
AUAUCUGCAACUCUGUGAACCACAGGGAACUGGUUCAGUUUAAUCCACACCUUUACAGAUUGGGUCAGGGUAAAGUGCUUAGACUCUCUGGCUGCAUAACGCACAGCAGCACGUGGUCCUCCAACGCUAGCCUCAUGCACAAGUCCUUGAGCCUUCUGUGAUGCUAUCUGUAACAAACUCUGCGCUUGACUCACGGCCUGCUUAGCAACAAGUGGAGCAUGGUUAUCAAACUUCCGUGUACCUUCAUAUACCU